rnacentral:rRNA from 1 species
UCCUACGGGAGGCAGCAGUGGGGAAUAUUGCACAAUGGGCGCAAGCCUGAUGCAGCCAUGCCGCGUGUGUGAAGAAGGCCUUCGGGUUGUAAAGCACUUUCAGCGAGGAGGAAAGCUUAAGCGUUAAUAGCGUUUAGGUGUGACGUUACUCGCAGAAGAAGGACCGGCUAACUUCGUGCCAGCAGCCGCGGUAAUACGAGGGGUCCAAGCGUUAAUCGGAAUUACUGGGCGUAAAGCGUACGCAGGCGGUUUGUUAAGCGAGAUGUGAAAGCCCCGGGCUCAACCUGGGAACUGCAUUUCGAACUGGCAGACUAGAGUCUUGUAGAGGGGGGUAGAAUUUCAGGUGUAGCGGUGAAAUGCGUAGAGAUCUGAAGGAAUACCGGUGGCGAAGGCGGCCCCCUGGACAAAGACUGACGCUCAUGUACGAAAGCGUGGGGAGCAAACAGGAUUAGAUACCCUGGUAGUCCACGCCGUAAACGAUGUCUACUCGGAAUUUGGUGUCUUGAACACUGGGUUCUCAAGCUAACGCAUUAAGUAGACCGCCUGGGGAGUACGGCCGCAAGGUUAAAACUCAAAGGAAUUGACG